rnacentral:rRNA from 1 species
UACGGAGGAUGCGAGCGUUAUCCGGAUUUAUUGGGUUUAAAGGGUGCGUAGGCGGCUUUUUAAGUCAGCGGUGAAAUUUUGUCAGCUUAACUGUAACAGUGCCGUUGAUACUGGGGAGCUAGGAUUUGGUUGCUGUGGGUGGAAUGUGUGGUGUAGCGGUGAAAUGCUUAGAGAUCACACAGAAUAUCGAUUGCGAAGGCAGCUCACAAAGCCAAGAUUGACGCUGAGGCACGAAAGCGUGGGGAUCAAACAGGAUUAGA